rnacentral:rRNA from 1 species
UCGAGCGGAAACGGCAGUAUUGAAGCUUCGGUGGAUUUACUGGACGUCGAGCGGCGGACGGGUGAGUAACGGCUGGGAACCUGCCCUGACGAGGGGGAUAACCGUUGGAAACGACGGCUAAUACCGCAUAAUGUCUACGGACCAAAGGUGGCCUCUACAUGUAAGCUAUCGCGUUGGGAUGGGCCCAGUUAGGAUUAGCUAGUUGGUAAGGUAACGGCUUACCAAGGCGACGAUCCUUAGCUGGUUUGAGAGGAUGAUCAGCCACACUGGGACUGAGACACGGCCCAGACUCCUACGGGAGGCAGCAGUGGGGAAUAUUGCACAAUGGGGGAGACCCUGAUGCAGCCAUGCCGCGUGUGUGAAGAAGGCCUUCGGGUUGUAAAGCACUUUCAGCAGUGAGGAAGGUAGUGUACUUAAUACGUGCAUUGCUUGACGUUAGCUGCAGAAGAAGCACCGGCUAACUCCGUGCCAGCAGCCGCGGUAAUACGGAGGGUGCGAGCGUUAAUCGGAAUUACUGGGCGUAAAGCGCAUGCAGGCGGUUUGUUAAGUCAGAUGUGAAAGCCCGGGGCUCAACCUCGGAACCGCAUUUGAAACUGGCAGGCUAGAGUCUUGUAGAGGGGGGUAGAAUUUCAGGUGUAGCGGUGAAAUGCGUAGAGAUCUGAAGGAAUACCAGUGGCGAAGGCGGCCCCCUGGACAAAGACUGACGCUCAGAUGCGAAAGCGUGGGUAGCAAACAGGAUUAGAUACCCUGGUAGUCCACGCCGUAAACGAUGUCUACUUGGAGGCUGAGGUUUAAGACUUUGGCUUUCGGAGCUAACGCAUUAAGUAGACCGCCUGGGGAGUACGGCCGCAAGGUUAAAACUCAAAUGAAUUGACGGGGGCCCGCACAAGCGGUGGAGCAUGUGGUUUAAUUCGAUGCAACGCGAAGAACCUUACCUACUCUUGACAUCCAGCGAAUCCUUUAGAGAUAGAGGAGUGCCUUCGGGAGCGCUGAGACAGGUGCUGCAUGGCUGUCGUCAGCUCGUGUUGUGAAAUGUUGGGUUAAGUCCCGCAACGAGCGCAACCCUUAUCCUUGUUUGCCAGCGAGUAAUGUCGGGAACUCCAGGGAGACUGCCG